rnacentral:misc_RNA from 1 species
AACGCACAUUGCGCCCUUUGGUAUUCCGAAGGGCAUGCCUGUUCGAGCGUCAUUAUCACCCCUCAAGCCCCUGGCUUGGUGUUGGACGGCCUGGUUGACGGUGACGUCGACCCCUCCUAAAGACAAUGACGGCGCCCCGCGGCACCCCCGGUACACUGAGCUUUUCAUCGAGCACGUAUCGGACACGGGUCCCCGGGACACGGUCCUUUGUUUCCCCCCCGUGGUGGGGAAACACACUUUCUGAAAGGUUGACCUCGGAUCAGGUAGGAAUACGCGCUGAACUUAA